GCGCCGGUGGUUCAGUGGUAGAAUGCUCGCCUGCCACGCGGGCGGCCCGGGUUCGAUUCCUGGCCGGCGCA
rfam:Clonorchis sinensis DNA, scaffold: 295, strain: Henan.